ACGUACUUAUUAACUAUAUUUAUAUACUUUUGACUGUACUUAUUAUGCGUACAUUAAAAACGAUUUUAUAUUUUGAUUCAAACUUUAGCUCCCGCAACGAUAACACCACACCGGUCUUGGACGAAAAAUAUAUCCGAUGGACGAACAUUAACGAGGAAGUUGAUGAGGUAACCCCAAUGAUCAUAUUCCAUCUUCAAAAGCUCCGAAUCGAACAUUUCCAGUUACCCGACAUAAAAGAAUAUAUUUGCAUAAAACCAUUCUUUAUUACAUAUAAGGUUGGAUUGUACCUUACCGAUGGAAUAGUAUAUAAUCUUAGAAGUAUAGCUCGAAAUGGAAAUGCCUUUAUGACAAAUAAAAAAAAAACAUUUCUAUGCCGGUGUCGCGGAUCGAAUAUUGUUAUCGAUAGGCUAGUUAGUAUUUUUGAGAAGUCCGAAUGUGGAAGGAUUUGUAAGCCCAUAUGUGUCUGGGCACAUUGUUUUUCGCCAUUUUAAAUUGCCGCUUUUUUAGCUUUUCAUUGUCGUGUAAGAGUUGGAGGACACACUGCGAAUAAAACGUGUUCUACUACCACGGAUUAGUCUGCCCUUUCUUUCGGGAACCAAUGCGUGGGGUA